rnacentral:lncRNA from 1 species
CAGCAACAACAACAACAAUCACCACAUUUCACCGCAGCUCCUCUAGUUCGUGAUGUCUCCUCUACGCUCUCCUCCCUAACUGAGCUCAUAUCUCUCUCGCUACAAACUCUCAGCUCACUCUCUUCCCUUAUCGAUUCAAAACCUUCUCCCGUGAAUUUGAAUGAUAAACAUGUGCCUUGCCCUUACAAUCCUCACCAUCUUAUGCCGCCGGAGUCUCUAUUCAUUCACACGCUUCGCUGCCCUUCUCCGGUAUGUGAGGAUCCUACUUCUAUUAUUCAAUCUCUUCACUACCUUAAGACUUUGGACUUGCAGUUCCAAGCUAGAACUCAAUUUGACGAAUCGUCCGAGGAACGGAAGAAUGGUGAACUCAGCCUAUCAUUGGAUAGUUAUUUCAAGGAGUUCGAGUCCAACUUCUUUUACAAAGAUUGUCCAGGUGCUGUUAACUUCAUCGAGUUGGAGAAUUUAGGGAAAUUUGUUACUUUACCAAGCGUUUUAUCGGUGGAAUGUGCCGAUUCUUUUGGUUUUAGAGAGAGAAGGCCUGAUGGGUUUGACGGAAAUAAGUUCGGAAUUCUCUCAUCUGAAUUAUGGACUAUUACGAGAGAGGUUGAGGGUUGGGUUGAUUAUCCUACGCAGUACUCGUAUGGAGUAGUUUGUGGAGUUCUGAGGUUAAAUGUGGUUAAGAUGAAUGAAUUGAGUGGUUGGAUUAUCACGAAUUCUCCUCAUUUCGGUUGUGUUAUUGAUGCAUACAUGAGAGACCAUAUCUCAGUGCUUGUUGGUCUAUGCCUGAAAGCAAUUAGAAGGGAAGCUUUGGCCUUCGUGGGUUGUGAUACGACCAUUGAGAAUUUGAGUUUUCCAUGUCCUGUAUCUGUUGAAGCUUUAAAGUGGCUUGCAUCUCAGCUCUCUAUGUUAUUUGGGGAGCUGAGUGCAAAAAGAUUCACUAUUAACACUUUUAAGCAAUGCAUACUGGAUGCUGCUAAAGAGGCAUUGUUGUUCUGUUUGAGUCCUGACUUCAAAGAAAGCUCCAAAGGGUUGGAUGACAAUAAAAGUGAGACAAAGGAUGGUAAGACUGAAGAGAGCACCCUUGAAGAAUGUACGGAGCACGAAGAAGAUAAGAAAGCUGAGGCAGAUGGUGUUGUUGUGUCUCAAGUAGCAGCUGCAGUGGCAGCAUUGCAAGAGCGUUCUUUACUAGAGGCUAAAAUUAAAGCUCUACGGAAUUCUCGAUUACUACCAUCUUACCAACGGUAUGGUGUUAGUCUGCUUCUACCGCAAUAUCUGCAUAAUCUAAGUUAAAUUUGUUACCUUAGAAGCUCAAGUUUCUCGAACCUUCAUUUUAUAUAUCAUAUGGGACUUGAAUGGUUUUGGAAGGCUAGAGUCUUGCCGUUGGCUAUUUUUAAAAAAGUCUACCUAUUGUGUUCAUAUUGAUGGAAUGCUGAUUGAUUGGAAUUAUUGAUGUUACACGUCUGUGGUAUUAGUAGGACUUACGCAUGUCCCUCAAAGUAACAUGCUUCACUUUCGUACACUUCACUUGGGAAGAUUGACAUUUCAGUUUUCCUCAUAUGUGAUUGCAUUGUCUCGAUACGGUGGAAGUGUCGCUGAGUUGUAUCCCUCUAUCAUUUUAGGGCAGUUGAGCAUACUUAUUUGACAACUAGAGCUGAUGAAGAACGGAAAAAGCAUGCGGACUACCGGCCCACUAUUGAGCAUGAUGGCUUCCGCAAGCGAUCAACAAACCAGGUACUCCAUUAGAACAAUGGGCAAUCGCUUUUAGGCAUUGUUUGUAGUUGACGGCCUACGGAAUGAGAUUCAUGAACCUUGAAACAAGGGUUUCAUAAUGCAUUAUGUAAGACCACCUUGAGCGAGUUCCUUAACUAUUUGUCUCACUGUUCGGGCCAGCUUUAAGGUCCAAGAUAUUUCUUCCUAAGAUAGUAUUAUUUUGUAUGCUACCUAGGCAAUGGUUUCGAGCUCUGCACUUUGGCUACUAUUUUUCAUAAUCUUCAACUUUUCUUCUUUUUUGGAAUAAGGAAACAAGCAGGCCAAAGACGAAGGAGGAAUUGUUAGCUGAGGAAAGAGAUUACAAACGUCGGAGGAUGUCAUAUCGUGGGAAAAAGUUAAAAAGAACAACUCUGCAGGUAUCAAAUUGUUUCUGGGUGACAUUAUGUGACACUUCUAAUAUCUGAGGGAUGAACCUAGUAACAAUGCCUUUCCUGCUGGCUCUAUUUGAGAGAAGUGUCUGCUAGCUCUAUAGUUUGGUGCUCCCUUCCACCACAUUUUUGCAAGACCAAUAAAUUUUUAGGAGGAUUGUUGAUUGUCCAAUUUAUAAUAGGUGAUGAGAGAUAUCAUAGAUGAAUGCAUGGAGGAAAUCAAGCAAUCGGGAGGCAUCGGCUGCUAUGAUAAGGCGGCUGAGGAAGUAUGUGUUCCCGCCGAACCAAUUAGUAACCUUGAGGUUUCUAUGGAUAUUGGUGUGCAUGCGCAAAUAAAUGGCAAAUCCUCUAAAAAGACAACAGUAACUACUGAUCAUCACCAGAGACAAUCCUACUCUCGGCAUGACAAAAGAUCUGCAACCUCUGAGGAUACUCUGUACAAAGAUAAUGAGCGACUAGGACAAGACCAUCACUACUAUCGUACGGAACCUAGGAACAUUGAGGGUCAUGGGAGACGCGUCAGAGACCACUAUACCAAGAGUCCAGAAAGGCAGGGAAAGCAUGUCCAGUCACAUGAGUGGAACAGUCGUAGAACAGAACGGAAUUCUGUGGAGUUGAUCUGAAUUUCAGGGCCUCUUGUAGCACCCAUGCUCUAAAUCUAAUUUUUUUUAUGUAAUUAGCAUGUUUAUUUUUAUAAUAAUAAUCAUUUUUUUCAUUGCGGGUGCUCAAAUAAAACGAUAAAUGACUAGCUAUAAAGUGUAUUCUAUUCUCAUGAUAAUCGAGCUUCCGAUCUUAAGAGACAAGGUGCCGAUCGAUCACUUGUUAAGAGACAAGGUGCUGUAAAUCUAAUGGUGUGCCUUAGAAGGCUAAGAAGCGGCCUCAUACAGCCCAGUCCAACUGAUUCGACUUGUAUGGAGGCCCAAUUAGCUCUGGUUCAGUCGGUCGUGAAUCCACUCACAAUUUCCCAGCAUCAGCAUUUUGGAUCGGGCUUUUCUUUCUAAACCCGAAUCCACCCACCAUGACCGUCAGUUCAUGCUUUCGGCGGCAAUUAAAAUCGAAGAUAUAUGCUCGCCGGUGGCUUAGCGCCGAUGCAAAGCCGAUUACAAAGCUUCAACCGAUCUGUUUUCCGUCCAUAGUCAAGAACUUUCGUCAUCGUCUCUCACUGAGCAUAUCCGAUGAACCCUUCUUCAGCUCCACUUCCCUAUCAUUCCCCAUUCCCUUAUCCCCCUCCUCCAAACCCUAACCCCUCCCCUAACAUCUUCGUCCAUCCUCUCCGACCGCCGCCGCAGCAACAACCUCAUCCGCCUCCUUACCAACUCCCACCUCCUCCGCAGCAACAACAACAACAAUCACCACAUUUCACCGCAGCUCCUCUAGUUCGUGAUGUCUCCUCUACGCUCUCCUCCCUAACUGAGCUCAUAUCGCUCUCGCGGCCAACUCUCAGCUCACUCUCUUCCCUUAUCGAUUCAAAACCUUCUCCCGUGAAUUUGAAUGAUAAACAUGUGCCUUGCCCUUACAAUCCUCACCAUCUUAUGCCGCCGGAGUCUCUAUUCAUUCACACGCUUCGCUGCCCUUCUCCGGUAUGUGAGGAUCCUACUUCUAUUAUUCAAUCUCUUCACUAC